rnacentral:rRNA from 1 species
GACGAACGCUGGCGGCGUGCCUAACACAUGCAAGUCGAGCGAGUGAAUCUCCUUCGGGGAGAGAAGCUAGCGGCGGACGGGUGAGUAACACGUGGGCAACCUGCCUCAUAGAGGGGAAUAGCCUCCCGAAAGGGAGAUUAAUACCGCAUAAGAUUGUAGCUUCGCAUGAAGUAGCAAUUAAAGGAGCAAUCCGCUAUGAGAUGGGCCCGCGGCGCAUUAGCUAGUUGGUGAGGUAACGGCUCACCAAGGCGACGAUGCGUAGCCGACCUGAGAGGGUGAUCGGCCACAUUGGGACUGAGACACGGCCCAGACUCCUACGGGAGGCAGCAGUGGGGAAUAUUGCACAAUGGGGGAAACCCUGAUGCAGCAACGCCGCGUGAGUGAUGACGGCCUUCGGGUUGUAAAGCUCUGUCUUCAGGGACGAUAAUGACGGUACCUGAGGAGGAAGCCACGGCUAACUACGUG